rnacentral:rRNA from 1 species
UACGUAGGAGGCAAGCGUUGUCCGGAAUCACUGGGCGUAAAGAGCUCGUAGGCGGCCUGUUACGUCUGCUGUGAAAUCCCGGGGCUUAACCCCGGGCGUGCAGUGGAUACGGGCAGGCUGGAGGCAGGCAGGGGAGAACGGAAUUCCCGGUGUAGCGGUGAAAUGCGCAGAUAUCGGGAGGAACACCGGUGGCGAAGGCGGUUCUCUGGGCCUGUACUGACGCUGAGGAGCGAAAGCGUGGGGAGCGAACAGG